GAGAACAACUGGGAGUAUAUUGAAGCAGAAAACUACCGGCUUCUGGCGGACUCAAUACUCGAUGACCAGGAAUCAGUGGACCUGAGGUGAAUGAAACAGAUGCUGCUGCAAGUGUUGCACGUAAGCCAAUCAUGGCACAGCACAGAAGGGUGAUUUUCUUUGGGCAAAUGCUUCAACUGGUUUAACUGGUGCAAAC